rnacentral:snoRNA from 1 species
ACCCUUCUGAAAAGCACACGUUGGGUCUGCGUGCAGUGGCUCAGCGAGUUGUCGUGGAAGGGCAGAGCAAAGGCAUCGCUUUUGGGUGAAGUGGCAGCUUGUGCUGUUUAUUUCAAUCAGUGGUGCGACAUUC